rnacentral:misc_RNA from 1 species
GGAAGGAUCAUUCACAAUAUUCUUGUUUUGGUAUCUUUCAUGUUGCUAAUUUGAUUUCCGGUCUGGUACACGCAUAUCAGAAUAAACCUAAAUGCGCACCUCCUUUGACAAUGGAUACCUCGGCUCCCACAGCGAUGAAGACCGCAGUGAAACGCGUAAAUACAUGUGAAUUGCAGUUCACCGUGAAUCAUCGUGUCGUCGAACGCAGCCUGCACCCCUUGAGGAACUAACGUACCUGUUGGGGUAGUCCUUUUUGAGCGCUAGACAGGAGAAGGCCAAAAAACUGUGCUUCUUUCAUACUGUUUGAAAAGGUUUGACAUUCUCGUGUUGGACCUUUUCUCUUGGUUACUCUCCUUUGAACACGCGGAAGGUACUCCAAUUCAUUUUGGUUUGACUUGUCCGUUCAUUUGGUAAGGGAUCAAUGUCCCUUUCCACGUAGUGAGGGUGCCCCGAAAGGGGACUCCCUUUAAGCAAACCUUUUACUACAAAUGACUAGUCCAUGUUGGUUGUUGGGUUGUAAAAGGACCACUUAAAUUGACUGCUUAGAGACUUUCGGGUCUUGCUGUAGUUUAUUUUUGCCUGGCCUCAAAUUAGGAUAGCCGACCCGCUGAACUUAAGCAUAUUAGUAAGCGGAGGAAAAGAAACUAAUAAGGAUUCCCUUAGUAGCGGCGAGUGAAAGGGGAAAAGCCCAUCCCUAAAAUCUGGCGCGCUCCCAAGCGGCCAGAGUUGUGGGGUAAGGCCUAAGUCCGACUGAGCGGGGGGAAACCUCUUGGCUGUUUUGAAUGGAAUCGUAAGUUUGAACAACUAACGCCUGCAAAGGUACCAUAGAGGGUAAAAGUCCCGUACAUUCAAAAUGGUGCUCAACUGGGUUUAGGUCACGAGUAGGGUUGCUUGAUAGUGCAGCCUGAAGACGGGGGAUGAACUUCCUCUAAGGCUAAAUACUGCGUGGGAGACCGAUAGAGAACCAGUACCGCGAGGGAAAGGUGAAAAGCACUCUGGUAAGAGGGUGAAAUAGAGCUUGAAAUUGUCAAUGGUCAUCCGUAGCUAGGAGUUAAAUUCGAGCCGUUGCUUCCUGUUGUGUCUGUGGUCUACUUGCGUUUAGGCUAUGGGCAUAGUAGCUAUACAAUGGUUUGUUUCUCAGUGACACGUUCUUGUUUACUAAACUCAUGGACAAGGAAGUCUUACCAUUUCGGUGGUUUGAUGUUAAUUUCUGUGUAAAUUGUCAAAUGAGAGCGUUUCUAACCUAAAAGAGUACGGGGUAACCCGGACAUUUUAGUUUGUCUCGGUGUCAAACUGGGGUAUCCUGGUGUCUUUGUAUUGGGUCAUUUGGUUCACGCUGAGUGAUUUGGUACAGGGGUGUUGGGACCUUGGGUUGGUGUUGGGAACUUCAUUCUAAAUAGUUCAGUACUCUCUUGUUACUGAGUUGAGCGUCUAGCUGCGACCCGUCUUGAAACACGGACCAAGGAGUUCAACGUGUAUGCGAGUGCAACCAGGUGAAUCUGGGAGUGCGAAAUGAAAGUGAAUGUCACCAAUUCCUGUAAUGGGAUGUCAGUGGCCAUCGCACGUGUUUGCGUCGCGAAUGAGAGCAUACCCGUUGAGACCCGAAAGAUGGCGAACUAUACCUGGGUUGGUUGAAGCCAGAGGAAACUCUGGUGGAAGACCUUGCAUUCGUGCUGACGUGCAAAUCGCUGAUCAGAACUGGGUAUAGGGGCGAAAGACUCAUCGAGCCAUCUAGUAGCUGGUUCCCUC